rnacentral:rRNA from 1 species
UGGGGAAUAUUGCACAAUGGGGGAAACCCUGAUGCAGCGACGCCGCGUGAGCGAAGAAGGUUUUCGAAUCGUAAAGCUCUGUCCUAUGAGAAGAUAAUGACGGUAUCAUAGGAGGAAGCCCCGGCUAAAUACGUGCCAGCAGCCGCGGUAAUACGUAUGGGGCGAGCGUUGUCCGGAAUUAUUGGGCGUAAAGGGCUUGUAGGUGGCGUGUCGCGUCUGCUGUGAAAUUCCAGGGCUUAACUUUGGGAUUGCAGUGGGUACGGGCAUGCUAGAGUGCAGUAGGGGAGAUUGGAAUUCCUGGUGUAGCGGUGAAAUGCGCAGAUAUCAGGAGGAACACCGGUGGCGAAGGCGGGUCUCUGGGCUGUUACUGACGCUGAGGAGCGAAAGCGUGGGGAGCGAACAGG